UGUUCGCUAGAAACAUAAAAAUAUUGUUAAGAAUCUGGGUGAAUCAGGGGAAGCUUUGUUCACCUGUUAUGAGGAGCAUAUCAUCAUAGAAUCAUCAGAGUAUGCAUGGGGAGGAGACCCUCAUCUUGUUCCAACCCCUGCUGUGAGCUAGUUGUCACCCACCAGGUCAGGCUGCCCAAAGCCCCAUCCAGGAGUGGGGCAUCUGCAGAUGUUCUGCAGCCAGCCCUGUGGUGUAGCAGUAUUCCCUGGCUUCUGUAAAUUCCUUGGGGUGGACUUAAAAACAUAGUGUGAUCUGUAAUUGUGUGGAAAACAGCUUCACGUAGGAGGCAACUCUCCAUUCCUUGUAUAUGUGUAUUUUUAAAACAAAGCGCUUAUCUCUGUCCUUUUCCACAGGGUAUUUUACUGCAAGCACACUGCAGGAAAAAAAAAAGCCACAUUAUCAGAAAAACACAUCUACCCAGUAGCAACAUUUCAACUCCUAUCUGUUCCCAGACUUGACAGAAGCGUUGCUGUGAUGUGAUGAGUUGGAAGAGCUCCUGGCUAUUGGCAUCUCAAUAAGUUGAUCAUCCUGUUUGCUCCAGGAAAGAAACUUAUUCACUGCUGCUUCCAAAGGCAUUUCCCCCCCUAAAUGACGACAGGGUUCUUAUCUAGGAUUUGAGCACCCUGAAGAUGCCACUUCUGUGGACACAGGCACUGAUCAGAGAACGAGAGCUGCUCUGUGUGAAGAGAAAGCCCUUCGACUGAGGGCCGAUGGCUGGCUGUGGGCACGGCCCCAGCCUGUGUUGGCUCUGCCACUGCUCGCAGGACCUUCUCCUCUUCCUCAGGGCUGUGCUGAAGGGCAGCUGCAGAACACAAACAGCGAGCACUGGUUUAUUGCAGUCUGCUCAGCAAGGCUGACGGGUCCUGCUCCAAUAAAGUGACUGCAUGCCUCAUGUUAA